rnacentral:rRNA from 1 species
AUUGAACGCUGGCGGCAUGCCUUACACAUGCAAGUCGAACGACAGCGCGGGAGCAAUCCUGGCGGCGAGUGGCGAACGGGUGAGUAAUAUAUCGGAACGUGCCCUAGAGUGGGGGAUAACUAGUCGAAAGAUUAGCUAAUACCGCAUACGAUCUACGGAUGAAAGUGGGGGAUCGCAAGACCUCAUGCUCGUGGAGCGGCCGAUAUCUGAUUAGCUAGUUGGUAGGGUAAAAGCCUACCAAGGCCACGAUCAGUAGCUGGUCUGAGAGGACGACCAGCCACACUAGGACUGAGACACGGCCCAGACGCCUACGGGAGGCAGCAGUGGGGAAUUUUGGACAGUGGGGGAAACCCUGAUCCAGCAAUGCCGCGUGUGUGAAGAAGGCCUUCGGGUUGUAAAGCACUUUUGUCCGGAACGAAACGGGCCGAGCUAAUAUCUUGGCCUAAUGACGGUACCGGAAGAAUAAGCACCGGCUAACUACGUGCCAGCAGCCGCAGUAA